rnacentral:rRNA from 1 species
UGCCCGGGUUCGCCCCGCGCGCAGAGUUGACCCUCCACCCGUGUCGACGUAUCUCUUGUUGCUUUGGCGGGCCCGGUGCCGCGCGCGCCCCCCGGCGCUCCGCUGGGUUGUGUCCGCCAGAGACCCCCCUUAACUCGUGUUGUCGUGUCGUCUGAGGAAAAAUAUGUGAAUUGUUAAAACUUUCAACAACGGAUCUCUUGGCUCUGGCAUCGAUGAAGAACGCAGCGAAAUGCGAUACGUAAUGUGAAUUGCAGAAUUUAGUGAAUCAUCGAAUCUUUGAACGCACAUUGCGCCCCUUGGUAUUCCGAGGGGCAUGCCUGUUCGAGCGUCGUCACACCCCCUCAAGCCGCGCCGUGUGUGUGGUUUGGUGUUGGGGCUCGCCCGUGGUGGCGGCCCUUAAAGACAGUGGCGGUGCCGUCGUGGUCUCUACGCGUAGUACAUCUCUCGCGACAGAGCUGCAACGGCCGCUAGCCAGUCAAUCCAUCACUUCUAGGUGACCUCGUAUAGUUAUUCGCCUCCU